rnacentral:misc_RNA from 1 species
AAAUCCUCGGAAAUGUGUAAUGCAAUCAACUAUACAUUUGUGAACUAAAAAUUUUUUAUAUAAUAUUUCUAUUAAAUUAAGCUUGCACAGGAAUCCAAUAACUUUUUGCAUCACACAAGGUCACAACCACACACAUGCACAAAAGAAUAGUUGCUUGCAUUUUCUGAAUUCGGAGAUGUUUGGUGCUGCAGGAUGAAAGAUCUUCACCAGAGGUG